UACAGAGGGGGCAAGCGUUGUUCGGAAUUACUGGGCGUAAAGGGCGCGUAGGCGGCCUGUUAAGUCGGACGUGAAAUCCCUCGGCUCAACCGGGGAACUGCGUCCGAUACUGGCGGGCUUGAAUUCGGGAGAGGGAUGUGGAAUUCCAGGUGUAGCGGUGAAAUGCGUAGAUAUUGGGAGGAACACCAGUGGCGAAGGCGGCUCACUGGACCGGAACUGACGCUGAUGCGCGAAAGCGUGGGGAGCAAACGGG
rnacentral:rRNA from 1 species